rnacentral:tRNA from 1 species
UCUGGAUUAGCUCAGUGGUUAGAGCUUAGGCAUUGUGACUGAAAGGUCCUGGGAUCAAAUCUUGCCAGAGGCAGAA